AGACCUCCCACCCUUGUGUAUUAUUACUUUGUUGCUUUGGCGAGCUGCCUUCGGGCCUUGUAUGCUCGCCAGAGAAUACCAAAACUCUUUUUAUUAAUGUCGUCUGAGUACUAUAUAAUAGUUAAAACUUUCAACAACGGAUCUCUUGGUUCUGGCAUCGAUGAAGAACGCAGCGAAAUGCGAUAAGUAAUGUGAAUUGCAGAAUUCAGUGAAUCAUCGAAUCUUUGAACGCACAUUGCGCCCCUUGGUAUUCCGGGGGGCAUGCCUGUUCGAGCGUCAUUUCAACCCUCAAGCUUAGCUUGGUAUUGAGUCUAUGUCAGUAAUGGCAGGCUCUAAAAUCAGUGGCGGCGCCGCUGGGUCCUGAACGUAGUAAUAUCUCUCGUUACAGGUUCUCGGUGUGCUUCUGCCAAAACCCAAAUUUUUCUAUGGUUGACCUCGGAUCAGGUAGGGAUACCCGCUGAACUUAAGCAUAU
rnacentral:rRNA from 1 species